CUCAAUGAUUUUUUUCUUUUUCUUCUUCUUUUUUUUCUUUUUCCUCA
rnacentral:ribozyme from 12 species